rnacentral:tRNA from 1 species
UAGCUCAGUCGGUUGAGCGUGGCGCUAACGAUGCCAAGAUCGCAGGUUCGAUUCCCGC